GAGGCGAAACCAGUUGACGGCGAGCCGUGCAAGCAGACGGUCGUGUUGUAGUCGCAAAUUGCUAAAAGGAAAGUGUCCCCCCCCCCCCCCAAGAAAAACAACAAGAAAAACAAACCAAACCAAAGCCCAAACAAAAGGCCCAUCAAUAUCAUCAUAGUUACGGGUUGUUCCUAGUGUGGAGUGCAUACCAAGAGAAAACUGCUAUCAAAGGAUACAAGUGCGAAGGAUACGCCGCAGCAUUAUCCUGACGAGACAUAGAGACCCAUCCCCAAAAAACAGUGAGACAUUGUCCUUUUUUUUGUUUACAACUCGCGGAGAGGACUUUGCAUUUUUGUGGGUCUAGGACUCGGUGGAGGGUGUCCGUGCCCGUGUAUUUCGUGGUCUCCGUGUUAGUUUUUGUGGUCUAACCCUCCCUCGUGCACCAGCCCCUAGUCCAGUCCUGUCCUUAGCCGCCGUGCUUUGUGUUUGUGUUGUGCUGCUGCAAAGUGGACGAUGCCAUGGCAACACAUUGCUAAUCGAUGACGUGACCAAAAAUAAAGAAAUCCAACCAGAAAACCAACAAAAUAACUGUCAGCAAACAAGACCCUUCACAUUUUGGGAUAACACUAGGAUAAUGUCCAUCAACUGAUUUCGGUUUGUAAAUUGGAAUGGCUGUAAAAAUGUGAACGAGCAGAAGAGCAGCAGCAACAA